UUUACGGAGAGUUUGAUCCUGGCUCAGAAUGAACGCUGGCGGCGUGCCUCAGACAUGCAAGUCGUACGAGAAAUCAUGUCUUCGGGCAUGAGAGUAAAGUGGCGCACGGGUGAGUAACGCGUGGGUAAUCUGCCCUAAAGUCCGGGAUAACAUUUCGAAAGGGAUGCUAAUACCGGAUAAGACCACGGAAACUUCGGUUUCAGCGGUAAAAGGUGGCCUCUGCAUGCAAGCUACCGCUUGAGGAUGGGCCCGCGUACUAUUAGCUAGUUGGUGGGGUAAUGGCCCACCAAGGCCACGAUUGUUAGCUGGUCUGAGAGGAUGAUCAGCCACACUGGAACUGGAACACGGUCCAGACUCCUACGGGAGGCAGCAGUCGGGAAUUUUGCGCAAUGGGGGCAACCCUGACGCAGCAACGCCGCGUGAGUGAUGAAGGUCUUCGGAUCGUAAAGCUCUGUCAAGCGGGAAGAAAGGUUUUAAGGCCAAUACCCUUAAGAUUUGACGGUACCGCUGAAGGAAGCACCGGCUAACUCCGUGCCAGCAGCCGCGGUGAUACGGAGGGUGCAAGCGUUAUUCGGAAUUAUUGGGUGUAAAGCGCGUGUAGGCGGUUUGGUAAGUCAGGUGUGAAAGCUUCGGGCUUAACCCGGAAAGUGCAUUUGAAACUGCCAGACUUGAGUGCGGGAGAGGAAGGUGGAAUUCCCAGUGUAGAGGUGAAAUUCGUAGAUAUUGGGAGGAACACCGGUGGCGAAGGCGACCUUCUGGACCGCCACUGACGCUGAGACG
rnacentral:rRNA from 1 species